AAGGAAUAUAGUUAUAAGGUUGAAACUUAAAGAAAUUAAUAGAAGGGUACUACUAAAGGUAGAGCCUACGGCUUAAUUUAAUUUAAUACGGGGAAAUUUAUUAGGUCUAAAUACAAUAAGGAUUAAUAAAUUAAAAGCUCUUUCUUAAUUUUAUAGGUAAUAGUAUAUAGCCGUUCUUAAUUAGUAGAAUAAUUUAUCUACUUAAUUAUAAUAACGAACGAAACUUUAACUUACUAAAUAGCUUAUAUUACUUUAGUAGUACGCUAGCUUUUUAAAGGGACUAUUAAUUUAAACUAAUAGAAAUUUAAAGUAAUAACAGGUCUAUAAUACCUUUAAAUAUUUUAGGCCGUAUAUAUACUAUACUAAUAUAAUUAGCAAAUACUCCUUUAACCGGAAGGUCUAAGUAAUUUUAUUAAAUUAUAUUAUAUUAAGGAUAAAGUAUUACAAUUAUUAUUUUUCAACAAAGAAUCCCUAAUAAGCGCAAAUCAUUAAUUUAUAUUAAUUACAUCCCUACCCUUUAUAUAUACCGCCUAUCACUACUACUAAUUAAAUAACUUAAUAAAACUUCCGAAUUAGCCUAAAAAAGUCGGCAAUAACUACCUAAAGCCGGAAAAUUAUCCAAACUCAAUUAUUUAGAGGAAAUAAAAGUUAUAAUAAAAUCUCCGUUAAUAAAUUAGCGGAAG
rnacentral:ncRNA from 1 species